rnacentral:rRNA from 1 species
ACAGGGGACGCAAGUUUUAUUCGGAUUUAUUGGGCGUAAAGGGUAUGCAGGUUGAUAUUUAAGUCUUUUGUUAAAACUUUGAGCUUAACUCAAAAUCUGCAAAAGAAACUAUUUAUCUAGAGUAUGUUAGAGGUAAAGGGAAUUUCCGGUGGAGCGGUGAAAUGCGUAGAUAUCGGAAAGAACACCAAUUGCGAAGGCACUUUACUGGGACAUGACUGACACUGAGAUACGAAAGCUAAGGGAGCAAACUGGAUUAGAUACCCAGGUAGUCUUAGCUGUAAACGAUGAACACUAGAUGUUGUUUCUUUUAUUGAAGCAGUGUCGUAGCUAACGCGUUAAGUGUUCCGCCUGGGGAGUAUGCUCGCAAGAGUG